rnacentral:rRNA from 1 species
UACGUAGGGUGCGAGCGUUAAUCGGAAUUACUGGGCGUACAGCGUGCGCAGGCGGUUUUGUAAGCCAGAUGUGAAAUCCCCGGGCUUAACCUGGGAAUGGCAUUUGGGACUGCAAGGCUGGAGUGUGGCAGAGGAGACUGGAAUUCCUGGUGUAGCAGUGAAAUGCGUAGAUAUCAGGAGGAAUACCGAUGGCGAAGGCAGGUCUCUGGGCUGACACUGACGCUCAUGCACGAAAGCGUGGGGAGCAAACAGG